GCAGUGCCACUUUGAUCGGAGCCCUGCGAGUGCGGGAGAGGCUUUUGGAAAUUGCUGCAGAUUCCAGCAGGAGAUUUUAAAUUUGGAAACAGUGAAAUUGUUUCAGAGUGUAUUACAAAUGGAGGAUUUGCAGUUGGGAAACUCAAACCAAACUUCUCAUCAGGAUCUGAUGAAGUCGUCCAAUUUAUUGUAACCUGAAUAUCAUCGGAUUUUAAACAUGGAAGGAAAAAGUACCAUCCACAAUAGAGAGAAACCAUGGAAAUGUGAGGACUGUGGGAAGGGAUUCACUUACCAGUCUAAGCUGGAAACUCAUCGACGCAUUCACACUGGGGAGCGGCCGUUCACCUGCUCUGAAUGUGGGAAGGGAUUCACUCAGUCGUCCACGCUGCUGACACAUCAGCAAGUUCACACCGGGGAGAGGCCGUUCACCUGCAGCAAGUGUGGGAAGGGAUUCAUUAAUUCGACCAAUUUGCUGACACACCAGCGAGUCCACACUGGGGAGAGGCCAUUCACCUGCUCUGAAUGUGGGAAGGGAUUCACUCGGUCAUCUGACCUGCUGACACACCAACGAAUUCAUACCGGGAAGAGGCCAUUCACCUGCAUGUGUGGGGAGGGAUUCACAAGAUCAUCGCAUCUACUGAGACACCAGCAAGUUCACACUGAUGAGAGACCUUUUAAAUGCUCGGACUGUGACAAGUGCUAUAAAAGUUCUGGGGACCUGAUGUCCCAUCGACAUGCUCACACUGAUGAGAGACCAUUCAGAUGUUCUCACUGCGGGACUGGGUUCAGGUGAUCAUUUGACCUCAUUGUACACCAGCGCAUUCAUACUGGGGAGAGGCCUUUCAUCUGCUCUGUGUGUGGGAAGGGAUUCACUCAGUCAUCCAACCUGCUGACACACCAGCGAGUUCACACUGGGAAGAGACCAUUCACCUUGUCCUUGUGUGGAAAGGGAUUCACUCAGACAGCCACCUUUCUAACACCCCUUCAAGUUCUCACUGAGUGGCAGAAGGGAUUCACUCAGCCAUCCUAUUUGCUGAAACAACAGUAAGUUCACAGUGUAGAGGGACGUUUAGAUGCCCAUAUCAUGGGAAAUCCUACAAAGGUUCCCAGGAAGUGAUAUACAAUCAAAAUGUUCACAUCGCUGAGGAACUGUUCAGGUGCUGUCACUUUCGAACUGGAUUUAGGAGAUCAUCUCAGCUCACUGUACACCAUAAACUAGUGAGUUCAUAGUGGGGAGAGGCUGUUCACCUGCUGUGGGAAGGGAUUCGCUCACUUAUCCCACCUGCUAGUCACUAGUGACUUCACAAGUAACUACAGUGAUUGAAUUUUGCUGUUACUCACAUCUAGGACUGAACCAUGUUCACUGGGAUCUGUUGAUGCUGAUGUUCAUCAACACCAGCCCUGUUAUAGGUGUUAAUACUGAGGAUAAAUGUCAAAUAAAUCAGCUCCGCAUUAAA